GUACAUACUCGUAUACUGACAUUGGAACGAUGCAGAGAAGAUUAGCAGUGCCCCUGCGCAAAGAUGAUACGCAAAAUCGUGAAGCGUUCCACAUCUUU